GCUCCCCUCCUCCAGGGAUUUUACUUUGCCUGAGAGUCCUGUUGGUGCCCUUCUUCUUCCUCGAGAGUUCCGUCCCUCUCGGCCUUAGGCGUUCUUCGAGUCGAUCCCCAUCUCUGCAUCUCUGCACCUCUCGGACCAGCCUAGGUUAGUUCCAGAACUCCCCUCUUCUCUUUUUUUUCCCUGCUAUUCUUCUUUCAUUUUUCCUCCUUUACAUUCUGUCUGUUUAGUUUUCCACGAGCGCCCCAUCUCUUAUUUUUUUCAAUUUUUUUGGGAUUUUUAGGGUUUUCACUUGAUUCAAAAUAUUUUCCAACACUUCCUCCUCUAGCAGUUCUAGGAGUUCGUCCGUUCCAAUCCCACAAAAUCCUAGCUCUGUAGAAGAACCUCGUCUGGUCUUUAUACCAGACACCAUCCCC
rnacentral:lncRNA from 1 species